rnacentral:rRNA from 1 species
UACGUAGGGGGCGAGCGUUGUCCGGAUUUAUUGGGCGUAAAGAGCUCGUAGGCGGUUUGGUAAGUCGGGUGUGAAAUCUCCACGCUCAACGUGGAGGGGCCACUCGAUACUGCCAUGACUCGAGUCCGGUAGAGGAGUGUGGAAUUCCCGGUGUAGCGGUGAAAUGCGCAGAUAUCGGGAGGAACACCAGUGGCGAAGGCGACUACCUGGCCUGUUCUUGACGCUGAGGCGCGAAAGCUAAGGGGAGCAAACGGGGAUUAAGAAACCCUGGUAACGUC